CAGCCGCCGCGGGAAUACGAAGGGGGCUAGCGUUGUCCGGAAUUAUUGGGCGUAAAGGGCUCGCAGGCGGUUUCUUAAGUCUGAUGUGAAAGCCCCCGGCUCAACCGGGGAGGGUCAUUGGAAACUGGGAAACUUGAGUGCAGAAGAGGAGAGUGGAAUUCCACGUGUAGCGGUGAAAUGCGUAGAGAUGUGGAGGAACACCAGUGGCGAAGGCGACUCUCUGGUCUGUAACUGACGCUGAGGAGCGAGAGCGUGGGGAGCGAACAGGAUUAGAUACCCCCGUAGUCCCUGUCUUUUAUAC
rnacentral:rRNA from 1 species